rnacentral:rRNA from 2 species
GAACCUAUGACGCUGGCGGCAGGCCUAACACAUGCAAGUCGAGCGGUAACACAAGGGAGCUUGCUCCUGAGGUGACGAGCGGCGGACGGGUGAGUAAUGCCUAGGGAUCUGCCCAGUCGAGGGGGAUAACAGUUGGAAACGACUGCUAAUACCGCAUACGCCCUACGGGGGAAAGGAGGGGACCUUCGGGCCUUUCGCGAUUGGAUGAACCUAGGUGGGAUUAGCUAGUUGGUGAGGUAAUGGCUCACCAAGGCGACGAUCCCUAGCUGUUCUGAGAGGAUGAUCAGCCACACUGGGACUGAGACACGGCCCAGACUCCUACGGGAGGCAGCAGUGGGGAAUAUUGCACAAUGGGCGAAAGCCUGAUGCAGCCAUGCCGCGUGUGUGAAGAAGGCCUUAGGGUUGUAAAGCACUUUCAGUAGGGAGGAAAGGCAGUUGUUUAAUAAACAACUGCUGUGACGUUACCUACAGAAGAAGGACCGGCUAACUUCGUGCCAGCAGCCGCGGUAAUACGAGGGGUCCAAGCGUUAAUCGGAAUUACUGGGCGUAAAGCGUACGCAGGCGGUUCAUUAAGCUAGAUGUGAAAUCCCCGGGCUCAACCUGGGAAUUG